CCUACGGGUGGCAGCAGUGGGGAAUAUUGGACAACGGGCGAAAGCCUGAUCCAGCCAUGCCGCGUGUGUGAAGAAGGCCUUCGGGUUGUAAAGCACUUUCAGUGGGGAAGAAAGCCUUGGGGCUAAUACCCUCGAGGAAGGACAUCACCCACAGAAGAAGCACCGGCUAACUCCGUGCCAGCAGCCGCGGUAAUACGGAGGGUGCGAGCGUUAAUCGGAAUUACUGGGCGUAAAGCGCGCGUAGGCGGUCUGAUAAGCCGGUUGUGAAAGCCCCGGGCUCAACCUGGGAACGGCAUCCGGAACUGUCAGGCUAGAGUGCAGGAGAGGAAGGUAGAAUUCCCGGUGUAGCGGUGAAAUGCGUAGAGAUCGGGAGGAAUACCAGUGGCGAAGGCGGCCUUCUGGACUGACACUGACGCUGAGGUGCGAAAGCGUGGGUAGCAAACAGGAUUAGAUACCCUAGUAGUC
rnacentral:rRNA from 1 species